rnacentral:rRNA from 1 species
ACUGCUCAGUAACACGUGGAUAACCUGCCCUUGGGUCCGGCAUAACCCCGGGAAACUGGGGAUAAUUCCGGAUAACGCAUAUGUGCUGGAAUGCUUUAUGCGUCAAAUGGAUUCGUCUGCCCAAGGAUGGGUCUGCGGCCUAUCAGGUAGUAGUGGGUGUAAUGUACCUACUAGCCGACAACGGGUACGGGUUGUGAGAGCAAGAGCCCGGAGAUGGAUUCUGAGACAUGAAUCCAGGCCCUACGGGGCGCAGCAGGCGCGAAAACUUUACAAUGCGGGAAACCGUGAUAAGGGGACACCGAGUGUCAGCAUCAUAUGCUGGCUGUCCAGGUGUGUAAAAUACACCUGUUAGCAAGGGCCGGGCAAGACCGGUGCCAGCCGCCGCGGUAACACCGGCGGCCCGAGUGGUGAUCGUGAUUAUUGGGUCUAAAGGGUCCGUAGCCGGUUUGGUCAGUCCUCCGGGAAAUCUGAUAGCUCAACUAUUAGGCUAUCGGGGGAUACUACCAGACUUGGAACCGGGAGAGGUAAGAGGUACUACAGGGGUAGGAGUGAAAUCUUGUAAUCCCUGUGGGACCACCUGUGGCGAAGGCGUCUUACCAGAACGGGUUCGACGGUGAGGGACGAAAGCUGGGGGCACGAACCGGAUUAGAUACCCGGGUAGUCCCAACCGUAAACGAUGCUCGCUAGGUGUCAGGCAUGGCGCGACCGUGUCUGGUGCCGCAGGGAAGCCGUGAAGCGAGCCACCUGGGAAGUACGGCCGCAAGGCUGAAACUUAAAGGAAUUGGCGGGGGAGCAC